rnacentral:tRNA from 1 species
AGAUGACACAGUUAUGGUUAGCUUACUUUGGGUGUAAGUUUGUUUA